UUCAUUUUGGCAGGACAUAUACUAAAAUUGGAAUGACACUGAGAAGAUUAGCGUGGGCCCUGUGCAAGGAUGACACACAAAUUCAUGAAGCAUUGCAUAUUUUA